AGGAAUAUUGGUCAAUGGACGAGAGUCUGAACCAGCCAAGUAGCGUGAAGGAUGAAGGUUCUAUGGAUUGUAAACUUCUUUUAUAAAGGAAUAAAGUCGGGUAUGGAUACCCGUUUGCAUGUACUUUAUGAAUAAGGAUCGGCUAACUCCGUGCCAGCAGCCGCGGUAAUACGGAGGAUCCGAGCGUUAUCCGGAUUUAUUGGGUUUAAAGGGAGCGUAGAUGGAUGUUUAAGUCAGUUGUGAAAGUUUGCGGCUCAACCGUAAAAUUGCAGUUGAUACUGGAUAUCUUGAGUGCAGUUGAGGCAGGCGGAAUUCGUGGUGUAGCGGUGAAAUGCUUAGAUAUCACGAAGAACUCCGAUUGCGAAGGCAGCCUGCUAAGCUGCAACUGACAUUGAGGCUCGAAAGUGUGGGUAUCAAACAGGAUUAGAUACCCUGGUAGUCCACACGGUAAACGAUGAAUACUCGCUGUAGGCGAUAUACAGUCUGCGGCCAAGCGAAAGCAUUAAGUAUUCCACCUGGGGAGUACGCCGGCAACGGUGAAACUCAAAGGAAUUGACGGGGGCCCGCACAAGCGGAGGAACAUGUGGUUUAAUUCGAUGAUACGCGAGGAACCUUACCCGGGCUUAAAUUGCAACCGAAUAUGGCGGAAACGCUAUAGCUAGCAAUAGCGGUUGUGAAGGUGCUGCAUGGUUGUCGUCAGCUCGUGCCGUGAGGUGUCGGCUUAAGUGCCAUAACGAGCGCAACCCUUGCCGAUAGUUACUAACAGGUUAUGCUGAGGACUCUGUCGGGACUGCCAUCGUAAGAUGUGAGGAAGGUGGGGAUGACGUCAAAUCAGCACGGCCCUUACGUCCGGGGCUACACACGUGUUACAAUGGGGGGUACAGAGGGCUGCUACCACGCAAGUGGAUGCCAAUCCCAAAAACCUCUCUCAGUUCGGAUUGAAGUCUGCAACCCGACUUCAUGAAGCUGGAUUCGCUAGUAAUCGCGCAUCAGCCACGGCGCGGUGAAUACGUUCCCG
rnacentral:rRNA from 1 species